rnacentral:rRNA from 1 species
GAUGAACGCUGGCGGCGUGCCUAAUACAUGCAAGUCGAGCGAACAGAUGAGGAGCUUGCUCCUCUGACGUUAGCGGCGGACGGGUGAGUAACACGUGGAUAACCUACCUAUAAGACUGGGAUAACUUCGGGAAACCGGAGCUAAUACCGGAUAAUAUAUUGAACCGCAUGGUUCAAUAGUGAAAGACGGUUUUGCUGUCACUUAUAGAUGGAUCCGCGCCGCAUUAGCUAGUUGGUAAGGUAACGGCUUACCAAGGCAACGAUGCGUAGCCGACUUGAGAGGGUGAUCGGCCACACUGGAACUGAGACACGGUCCAGACUCCUACGGGAGGCAGCAGUAGGGAAUCUUCCGCAAUGGGCGAAGGCCUGACGGAGCAACGCCGCGUGAGUGAUGAAGGUCUUCGGAUCGUAAAACUCUGUUAUUAGGGAAGAACAAAUGUGUAAGUAACUAUGCACGUCUUGACGGUACCUAAUCAGAAAGCCACGGCUAACUACGUG